rnacentral:misc_RNA from 1 species
CUAUGCUGGUAUCAAUUUGUCU